AGACUCUUCCUUGUUCUGUAAGAAUGGCAUGCUGAAGAGGAAUAGAUUUUCUUGAUAAUCACAGCUCCACAAAGAAGGCUUUCACAAGUAACUUUAAAAAGUGGGAAUCUUUCCACUCAGGGAAACAGAAACACCUUUUCAUAGCUCCCUGAGCUUGCUUUGGUUUGCAUCAGCACCACCCCUGAGCCAGCUUAGUUUUGGAGGAACAGCGUGACAGAGAACAUCUGGUCAUUGAGUGUAUGCGGAGGAUGUUCAGAUGCUGUGGAGGAAAUGCCAGAGGUAGCCAGAGAGGGUGGGGAUGGGAGCUCCUUCCUGCAGCCCAGUUUUGAGGUGCAUAGAAGGCAACAGCAAGGUUCACAUCCAAGUGAAGCUUUUCCAAUCUUUUUAAUAGGUGCUGAUCACAAAACAGGUUACUCCACAACAACCCUUUCCAGAAACAGCUGUUUGUCCUUCUCGGUGGAUAUUAAGAACGCUGCCCACAAAUCCUAAUCUCCUGUUAAUGUGUGUUGCAUUAACAU